GCCAUUCCUCCUGGGCUGCAGGGGCCAACUUGGACUUGGAAGAGCCUCUCAGCAGCCCCUUGCCACCACAGCACCCUCCUGUCCUGUCCCCACCCUGUGGGACCUCUGAGCUGAGGGGUGCUGGCUGGAGCUUGGGGUGGCUUUCCCAGGAGCUCAGGCUGGGAAUUGGGGCAGGACCCUCUCUGGACUGUACUUGCACUGCUGGCUGGGGGCUCCCUGGACGGGCCUGGUGCUCUCUGGGUUUGUCAGCUCGGGCUGGAGCAGUGAGCACUCUGAGCAGGAGAAGCAGCUCCUCAGGGCAGGGCUGUCACCUCCCUCUGCACCCUGUCCCAUCCUUUGGAAGGUGUGGCUGCUCCUGUCCCAGUCCUUUGGAAGGCCUGGCCUGGGGCACAACAGCUUUGUUGUCUUAAACUCACCUUGGCCUUAGACUUAUUCCUCUCCACUGUGGUCCAUUUUUGCCACAGAGGGACAGAGAUUUGGGUUUUUUCUGUCCUCCUCCUCCCCACACAGACUGUGCAGAAAGGGGCUGGAUGUCCUCCCGGAGAUGUUCCUGCUCUCCCUUUGCUGUGACCCCUGGCACUCAGCCCCUCUGGCACUGAGCUAACACUGGUGUCAGAGGCUGGCUUUUGGGCUGGUUAAACUGCCCAGCUGGCUGCAGGAUUUGGGUCUCGAGGGAGUGGAAGUGCAGGUGCAGAGGGGGAGGCUGGGGACAGUGCUGAGCCCUGCAGGGACACGGUGAAGUGUCUGUCACUGUCAUGUGCCUUUGGGGUGAGUGGGGGUGAAGAUCUCUCAUGAUCACACAGGUGCCUGAGGCUGGAUUUGAAAUCCUUUCUGUGUGGGGCCAUGUGGGUCAGGCAGUGGGCAGAGGCUGCAGAGCAUCCUUUGGGAGGAGCAGAGCAGCAGUGGAACGAGGCAGGAGGAGAUGCACAGGGAGCCCUUCGCUCCCACCUUCUCCUUGUCUCACCUGCUUGGGGGGUGCCACAGCUUUUUGGGUGGCUCUGCUGGCUGGGAGGCGUGGGCAGAGCAGGUCCUCUGUCCCUUCUGUCCCCUCCCCUUGGCUGGGUGGGACUGGAGCACAGAGCUGGGGAGGGGUCAGCGACCUCACUGGCAGCACCUUCUUUACACAACCCAAAGGUGAAAGGCAGCACUUAAGUUUUGCUCUGGACAACACUGUUUGUUUUAGACCUGUUUCUUUAGCCAACAUUGUUUGUUUUAGACCUGUUUCUUUAGCAAGAAAAAAAUAUUCCCGCUUAAAAAAAAAAAUCAGGAAAAAAGCUGUUAUUUUCAAGUCCCCUCUGUUGAUUUACUGGCGUUUCAGGGAAAGGUGGUAUUGA
rnacentral:lncRNA from 1 species